rnacentral:lncRNA from 1 species
UAAACUUUGAGCAUGAUACAUGCAUCACGUAUGCCAUGAGAUAUACUAGGAUGUUUGCAUUAGAAUUCACGAAUAUGUUGCAUUGCAUAAAUUGAUGUUGAUGUGGAUGGAUGUUGGAUGACCCUUUAGUCCUCGUAUGCUAUGGUAUGAUGAUGAUACGGUACGGAAGACCAGUGAGGCCCAUUCUACGCCCCUGGCACUAUGGCAAGAGAAAGACCAGUGAGGCCCAUUCUACGCCCCUGGCACCUUGGAAUGUUAUGUUAUGUUAUGCUAUGGUAAGAGAAAGACCAGUGAGGCCCAUUCUACGCCCCUGGCAUGAUUGGACUAUGUUGAGG